rnacentral:rRNA from 1 species
GACAGAGGGGGCAAGCGUUGCUCGGAAUUACUGGGCGUAAAGGGCGCGUAGGCGGGAUGGCAAGUCGGUCGUGAAAUCCCUCGGCUCAACCGAGGAACGUCGAUCGAUACUGCUGUUCUUGAGGAUUGCAGAGGAGACUGGAAUUCCCGGUGUAGCGGUGAAAUGUGUAGAGAUCGGGAGGAACACCGGUGGCGAAGGCGGGUCUCUGGCAAUUCCUGACGCUGAGGCGCGAAAGCGUGGGGAGCAAACGGG